UGUGCUCUGGCAACCAAAAGGGCCAACUCUGCCCUGGAGUGAAUCAGACCCAGUUAGCUGGUCGAGGGAAGGGAUUGUCCUGCUCUGAUCUGUGCUGAUGCAGCUUCACCUCAAGCCACUGUGCUCAAAAUUGGGUGCCACAGUAUCAGAAAGACACAAUACUAUUAGAGGGUGUCCAGAGAAAGCCUGUGAAGAUGAGCAAGAUGAGAGGUACAGAAAGCAAGAUGUGUGAAGAGUGGCUGAGGCCAUUGAUUUGUUCAGCCUAGAGAAGAGGAGACUGAAAGGAAGCAUCAUGGUGGCCUACAGCUUCCUUGCGAGGGGAAUGGAGCAGCAUGCAGGCAGGCUUUUCUCUCUGGCAACGGUGACAGGACCUGAGGGAACAGUGUGGAGUUGCAUCAGGGGAGGCUCUGAUUGGAUAUCAGGAAAAGGUUCUUCACCGGAGAGUUGCUGGGUACUGGAGCAGCCUCCACAGGGCACCAGUCAUGGCUCCACUACCAGAGUUCAAGGAGAGUUUGGACAACACUCUCAGACAUGGGAUUUGAAUUUUGGGUGUUCCUGUGUGGAGCCAGGAUUUGGACUUGAUGAUCCUUGUGCGUCUUUUCCAACUCAGGAUAUUUCAAGAUUUUGUGAUUCUGAACUGCAGAGUACUGGAAUGGAAAUACUAAGUCAGGAAAAAAUGGCAUCUGAAUGGAAAUACAUAUAAAGAGGCAUCUGAAUAAAGAGUGUCGCAAGGGAUAAAGGCAUGUCAUCCUUAAUGGGUACAGAAAUUUGUCAUUAAACUAACUAGAAAACAAGAAGACUAAUAAUUUAAACCCAUAAAGAUACAGUGACAAAGGGCUGAGAAACAGGGUUGCAACUAUGAAAUACCCAAGCAGGAAAAUAAAGAACACAGAGAGUCAGCAAGUUCUCCUCAGACUUUCAAGGGAAAAGUCAGGCAAAAGACCUUAGGAAAAAACUACUCAUCAAAGAUUUAAAAGGCACAACCCAGACUCAGUUAGUAAUGAUUAAUAAUUACUGCCAAUCAAAAAGAUGCUCCAAAGACAUGAUGAUGACUCAGCAGCUGCAGUCAUCUCUCUCGUGCAGCAAUACUGUUCCUUUCUAGAAUACCUGAACACAUGUACCUUGGCACUGGUAGGUAUGAGAGCAAAAUGAGUUUUGCUUAAGACAGAAGUCUUCUUUCACUUCCAGAAGGAUUCACAUUCAGCUUUCCUAUAACAAAUAUUGUAGAAAUCAUAUUAUUUUUUAUAUAAUUGGGGAGCAAAGCAUAAAAUCUUAGAGUACAGUUUCUACCUAGUACGUUUAUCUUCUUUUCUUUGAUUUUUCAAUUUCAUUCUACACCUCUGCAGGUGCUUUCAUUUUAAAAAAGCUACUCCUCAAUGUGUACAUUUAUAAAUUCAGAUUUAUUGUUCUCUGGAAAAAAACUCAGAAUAAUCUAGUGCGUCCAUCUUCACGACCUUCAUUUUACCUAUUUUUCCCAUCAGUUCCCUCUGGUGCAGCAUCCAAAAUUCUAUACACCAGAAAAGCUCAGAAAGAUGAUGUCAAGGUGAGCCAAAUAAGUAUCAGGAAACAUCUCCUAAAAGCAAAUGUUAAUGCAAGGUUAAAAAGCAUCAGCCUUUGAUCUCUACAAGUUUUGAUUUAGUUUUAGAUUCCAGCUAAUUCCAGUUGGUGUAAAUCAUGCAGAUGUAUGAACAUUCCUACUUGAAUCCUGCAAAAAUUUGCCAUUUUUUUUCAGUUGAAAGUGAAACAAACAGCAUUAGAGUCCCACAUAAGCCACUGAGAUUCAGGCACAAUGUAAGUUGGUCACGUAUCAUAAUUCUUGUUAUACUACAAGAUGUCCGUUUGCUUUGUCUGCAGCAGUCAAGUGUCCCAGUAUUACUUCUUCCUUCAGUUCAGCUGAGACUGCAAACCCAGCCUAUGUCAUUAGCAAUUCUCAGUGUUUGACAAGGGAGACCUGGAGGAGUCCUUGGCACGACAAGCCUAGCUCUGCCCCAACUUGUUCUGCAAACAGGUGCUUGAGAUGGGAGCGGUAUACAUGCAUGUCCCCUGCCAAGAUUUUUUCACAAUUGCAUUUAGAAAGCUGGAGACCAAAGGCAGCAGUUUCUGGAAUGCUGAAAUGUCUGAGGACCCCACCUCCCUUUUCAAAGGAACCCAUGCCACUUACAAAUUUUCUCUCUAAGAGUCUUCUAGAAUCUCAACGCUGAACCAGUUGCUAGAUAAAUGCC
ensembl:lncRNA